GUUGUAUUUUGUAAAUUGUAUGAACCCGCGGGAAUUUCAUUUUGGCUGCAGAUGAUGGAACCAGAUUUAACGCCAGUAAUGGAACUGAACGGGGAGAUUAACAAGACCUACAUUUAACAAAAAUUACCAGGGGCUGAGCCAAAACUAGUUUAUCUACGUUUAUUGGCAACAAUAGUCGAAUAUAAAAUGAAGAACACAGACUGUGGACAGAUCUACCACGUUUUAAGUUUAGUAGCAUUAGUACUUGCUGUGUGCUCAGCUUUAAAUGGAGGACAGGGUUGUAGUAAACAACCGAGUGUUCAGGCUGUUGGAUAUCGGUCAGUAGUGAAAGGGGAUGUUGCCUUGGUCUUAUAUGCUGACAUUUUCAAUGAUGGAAAUUUUAGUGUGCACAUGGAGGUCAUUGUGAAGAAAUGCUGUUUAUUUCUACCCAAAGAAAAAUACUGCAAGGGCAUGAAUUUGAUUGGGGAUCACCAAGGAGAUGUUCAGCCAAUGAAAUCAAAGCUGUUCAAUUUUGUGUAUCCAACACUGUAUCCGUACGAUCGUGAAGGAAAAUGUGAGCUGCUUGUUUCAGCCAACACAUCGUGUGACGGGAGUUAUCGCGAGGUCAUUAUCCCAUUUAAUACACGGGUACCAAGGGACUGGUGGACAGACUGGUUGCCACACUCCAUACAAACUGUACUGUUUGGUGUCGGUGUGCGAGAUUGCGGAGGAGUUGACGAGGACAGACUGAGAUCGUGUGUUCCUGUCAAUUGUCAACUCAAGUAUGGAGGGACGCGCAACUUCUUCAAUUCUACAGAAAGGAAAUGUAUGGCAGUACCAAAAUGUGGAGCAAAGCUGUAUGACCCAGUGAACAAUGAAUGCAGAGCAUCCACUGACCACCUAGAUAAGGAGAUCUACACUCGUGUAUUAAACAAGUCCAGUCUUCAUGCCACUGUAGAGGAGGGGGAGAGUCCUAACUGGAGAACUCUGGUUGGUCCCAGGCUGAGCUGUGGUGGCCACGGCCAGCUGUCAGAUGACCAUCUAGACUGCCGAUGUGACCCACACUGGAAAACAGACACCACAAAGUCGAUAGGACAAGGGGAGGUCACCAUGAUGUGUAACGUCCACCAGAAGAUUACCAGGAAAACAAAGAUCAGCUCAAUUCUGGCGUUUGUGUUCUCUGUGUUCAUCUUGCUGGUUGCCGUGGUUAUAUGUCUGUACAUGAGGGCGAGGGCUAUUGGACGACGCUACUACCAACCUAGUACACGUUCCUACGCAGCUGAAACGGAAUCUUGCUUUCCCAAACUUCUCAGUAACUGUAAACCUACAGCUGGAACCGGUGAAGAGUCAAGUCACAUGACAGGUGUUGGUCAGACCAGUCCACUUGCUGCUGAUGGUGAGGACAGCCAAGAUGAAAUUUGAGAAUACGACUUGAGGUGUGGUGAAGCUAAUGAAGACGAGUGCAAUGGGUCGGAAGAGGCUUGUAGGGACUUAAGCGAGCGGUUCUGUUCUGUUACGGCCGACUUUCAGUGCCAUAAUGGAGGAAUUAUAACAAGACAAGAAGACCAUCUGGUUCUUGCCAUGGGAAGAGGAGGAGUUAAUCAAUGAAAAUCCUGAAGCUGUAAGGAGAAAAGAAUUUCAUGUAACCAUUCCAUCUCGUAGUGAAAAAGUAUCUUAAAAUUGGAACUGAACAAUAACAAGGACAUUUCUUCUUGGGAAUUUACAAGAAAAAUGUUGAUUAGUUUUUAGAAGCUGUUCAGAAAAUUAAGUGUGUUUACAAGGUUGGAACUGAUUGUUUUUUUUUCACUUUUAAAAUUUUAUUGUCGUAUCUAUAGUGAAAUGUUGAACA
rnacentral:misc_RNA from 1 species